CUUGACCAUUUCCUGCGCCGCCAUUCUGCGGUUAUGGGGGCUGUUGAGGCCUUUCACAUUCAGGGUUAAGAUUCUCAUUACAUUAGCCAUUUUAUUCCCUUUUUAGGAUGCAUUUGUGGUGCGUGCGAGUUCGAGUGAUGAUGUAUAGCAAAUGUUGUUGGUGUUGCCCAGGGGUAGGUAAUGUGAGAAGGAACUGGGGGUGACAAAACAGGGGGAUGUAACAAAAUG